rnacentral:rRNA from 1 species
AUGUCAAUGCAACUUGCUGCUUGGUCAAAGGAGCUCCAUGGAAUGGAGAGUUACUGCAUCAAGGAGUUUGCUGAUGCACUCGAGGUCAUCCCUUACACAUUGGCAGAGAAUGUAGGGCUCAACCCAAUUGCCAUUAUUACUGAGCUAAGGAACCGCCAUGCCAAGGGUGAGCAGAACACGGGAAUCAACGCGAGGAAAGGCCAAAUCACAACAAUCCUGGAGGAGAAUGUUGUGCAGUCGUUUCUUGUGAGCACGAGCGCCAUCUCGCUGGCGUGCAAGUGCAUUAGAAUGAUCUUGAAGAUUGAUGAUAUAGUCACCGUAAGGGGCACUGAGUUGUAA